AAUUUUUAGAGUGUGCUUUUGAUUUUAUGGUGAAAUUAAAGAUUUUUGUGUGUGUGUGUUUAAGAUUAUAAGAUUUAGUGAACGAACCAGAUUAGUACCUGGUUAGAUAAAAAUUAAAAGAGCAGGAGUAAAGUUGAGUUUAAACUGUAAUAAUAUUGGCAGGCUUUUAAAUUAUCUUUGGAGGCUGAGUAGUAAUUGAGAGCCCUCAUUUACAACUCUUAUUUUGGGCUCAUGUAUGAUCGUUUAUUUUAUUCUUAAGGAUUGUAAUUUUAGUUUUUAUCUGUUAAAAUAGAUAUAUACUUGGUUUAUAUAGGAGGUUAAUUUGGCCUACAAUGUUGUAUUUUUUGGAUAGUGCUGGCAGUUGGUACUUGAAAUUGUAAAAGACAGUAAAGCCCCUUUAAUGGGGGAUUGAAGUUUAUUUAAAAGCGG
rnacentral:rRNA from 1 species